rnacentral:piRNA from 1 species
AUGAAAACACAAAGCACAGGUCAGG